AGUCCGCAACUAUAUGUCCUUGUUCUGAACCUGUCAAGGAAAAUGACAAUUGUUUAUUGCUAAAUUCACAUAUCUAGCUGAACCCUGAGUUUCAACUCCUCUGUCAAGAGAGGCUGUAUCAGCUGCAUUAAAUGGUACGCAGGCCGCCCAAGUUGCAUGGCAACUGAAUGUAACUCUGGUUUCCUAAGCUGCACGGUAAGGUUAAUGGAUCAGCUUGGUUGUAACUCCAGUCUCCUAAGCUGCACGCAGGCCGCCCAAGUUGCAUGGCAAGCAAAUGUAACUCUGGUCGCAUGGCAAGCGAAUGUAACUCUGGUCUCCUAAGCUGCGCGGUAAGGUUAAUGGAUCAGCUUGGUUGAUGGUUAGAGUAUUUUUCGACUCAUCCCACGCAGGUCAUUAUGUUAAGCUAACUACAACUAGUUACUUUAAAAAUUAAUCUACCUAUAUAGAUCAACUUUUACUAAUCUAAUCAUAUCGGUCUCAUUAUAGUUUACUCCAAUACCUUGGAUUGGUAAGUACAUAUAGUUGAUAGUUGAUACAGAAAUGGUAUGGAAAAGUAGAUAAUAGUUUAAUCUAAAACAUUAAACUUAUAGGGCAAGUACAAACGAAUGCUGUGACUUAUGCAACAGUGCGGAACGGAUGCUCAAACCAUCUCAGACGCAAAGUUCUUUCAUGACACACUCACCAAUUGUUUGUGUUUAUAUAUAGUGCACAGUUUUCCCAUCUCUAAUUCCCAAAUCAAGUCCAAAUCCACCACACUUUGUAGUAUUCGUCCAACUUUAUGAACAAUUAUGCCAGACGCCCCCCAGUGUUCUCA
rnacentral:lncRNA from 1 species